rnacentral:rRNA from 1 species
GAUGAACGCUGGCGGCGUGCCUAAUACAUGCAAGUCGAGCGAACAGACGAGGAGCUUGCUCCUCUGACGUUAGCGGCGGACGGGUGAGUAACACGUGGAUAACCUACCUAUAAGACUGGGAUAACUUCGGGAAACCGGAGCUAAUACCGGAUAAUAUAUUGAACCGCAUGGUUCAAUAGUGAAAGACGGUUUUGCUGUCACUUAUAGAUGGAUCCGCGCCGCAUUAGCUAGUUGGUAAGGUAACGGCUUACCAAGGCGACGAUGCGUAGCCGACCUGAGAGGGUGUUCGGCCACACUGGAACUGAGACCCGGUCCAGACCCCUACGGGAGGCAGCAGUAGGGAAUCUUCCGCAAUGGGCGAAAGCCUGACGGAGCACCGCCGCGUGAUUGAUGAAGGUCUUCGGAUCGUAAAACUCUGUUAUUAGGGAAGACCAAAUGUGUAAGUAACUAUGCACGUCUUGACGGUACCUAAUCAGAAAGCCACGGCUAACUACGUG